UACGAAGGGGGCUAGCGUUGCUCGGAAUCACUGGGCGUAAAGGGUGCGUAGGCGGGUCUUUUAAGUCAGGGGUGAAAUCCUGGAGCUCAACUCCAGAACUGCCUUUGAUACUGAAGAUCUUGAGUUCGGGAGAGGUGAGUGGAACUGCGAGUGUAGAGGUGAAAUUCGUAGAUAUUCGCAAGAACACCAGUGGCGAAGGCGGCUCACUGGCCCGAUACUGACGCUGAGGCACGAAAGCGUGGGGAGCAAACAG
rnacentral:rRNA from 1 species